rnacentral:rRNA from 1 species
AGAGUGAACGCUGGCGGUAGGCCUAACACAUGCAAGUCGAACGGCAGCACAGGAGAGCUUGCUCUCUGGGUGGCGAGUGGCGGACGGGUGAGGAAUACAUCGGAAUCUACCUUUUCGUGGGGGAUAACGUAGGGAAACUUACGCUAAUACCGCAUAAGACCUUCGGGUGAAAGCCGGGGACCUUCGGGCCUGGCGCGGAUAGAUGAGCCGAUGUCGGAUUAGCUUGUUGGCGGGUAAAAGCCCACCAAGGCGACGAUCCGUAGCUGGUCUGAGAGGAUGAUCAGCCACACUGGAACUGAGACACGGUCCAGACCUCCCGAGGGACGCAGCGAGGUGGGAAUAGUGGACAAGUGGC